CCUUGGCCACCAGUUUGCUCUAAAAUUGGAACGAUACAGAAAAGAUUAGCAUGGCCCCUGUGCAAGGAUGUCAUGAAAAUUCAUGAAGUAUUUAAUAUUUUU
ensembl:snRNA U6 U6 spliceosomal RNA